GGGCCCGUAGUUUAAUGGCAUAACACUCGCUUAGCACUAGAUGCCUGCGAGAGGUUCGGGGUUCGAUUCCCCGCGAGUCCA